UGCCGAGGUCCCCAGAGGAGGACGGGUCAUGCCGAGGUCCCCAGAGGAGGAUGGGUCACGCUGAGGUCCCCAGAGGAGGAUGGGUCACGCUGAGGUCCCUGAGGGAGCUGGGCCAUGCCGAGGGGCCCUUCCCAGCAGAGAUGCCACAGGUUAAUUUCUUGGAAACAUCUCACUUUGUUUUUGAUCCACUGUGGAUGGUACAGGAGCUGAGCAGGAGAGAAGAGAGAGAGAAGAAAGGCAGCUCCACCAAAAGCCACAUAAACAGCUGAAUGAAUGAAAAGGAUUAAAAAUAACACCCAACCCCGAGGUGAAAUUGGAAGAAAUAAAUGGCUAAAACA